rnacentral:rRNA from 2 species
GAUCAAGUGUCUUAAGGGCAAUUGGUGGAUGCCUUGGCAUGCACAGGCGAUGAAGGACGUGAUACGCUGCGAUAAGCUACGGGGAGGUGCGAAUACCCUUUGAUCCGUAGAUUUCCGAAUGGGGAAACCCACCUAAGGUACUUGGAAAAUCAGAGCAGCCAGAAGGUCGCAAGGCUGACUUGCUGCUGUGGUUUCCAAGUAUCGAUAAUAGGUAACUUACCCUGAAUACAUAGGGGUAAAGUGGCGAACGCGGGGAACUGAAACAUCUAAGUACCCGUAGGAAAGGACAUCAACCGAGACUCCGGAAGUAGUGGCGAGCGAACCCGGACCAGGCCAGUGGCGAUUGAGAGACAAGCGGAACCUUCUGGAAAGUAGGGCCAUAGUGGGUGACAGCCCCGUACGCGUAAUGCAAUCAAUCGUCCUCGAGUAAGGCGGGACACGUGAAAUCCUGUCUGAAAUUGGGGGGACCACCCUCCAAGCCUAAGUACUCGUGCAUGACCGAUAGCGAACUAGUACCGUGAGGGAAAGGUGAAAAGCACCCCGACAAGGGGAGUGAAAGAGUACCUGAAACCGAUUGCCUACAAACAGUGGAAGCCCAAGGUUCGUCCUGGGUGACCACGUACCUUUUGUAUAAUGGGUCAGCGACUUAGUGUGACGAGCAAGCUUAAACCGCUAGGUGUAGGCGCAGCGAAAGCGAGUCUGAAUAGGGCGUUCAGUUCGUCGCAUUAGACCCGAAACCGAGUGAUCUAGCCAUGAGCAGGUUGAAGGUAAGGUAACACUUACUGGAGGACCGAACCCAUAACUGUUGCAAUAGUUCGGGAUGACUUGUGGCUAGGGGUGAAAGGCCAAUCAAACUCGGAAAUAGCUGGUUCUCCGCGAAAUCUAUUUAGGUAGAGCGUCGACCGAAUACCCCAGGGGGUAGAGCACUGGAUGGGCUAGGGGUCCUCACCGGAUUACCAAACCUAACCAAACUCCGAAUACCUGGGAGUACUAGUCGGCAGACACACGGCGGGUGCUAACGUCCGUCGUGAAAAGGGAAACAACCCUGACCUACAGCUAAGGUCCCCAAGUUAUGGCUAAGUGGGAAAGGAUGUGAGGAUCCCAAAACAACCAGGAUGUUGGCUUAGAAGCAGCCAUCAUUUAAAGAAAGCGUAACAGCUCACUGGUCUAAAUAAGGGUCUUUGCGCCGAAAAUGUAACGGGGCUAAAGCCAUACACCGAAGCUUAGGGUUUGGUCCGCAAGGGCCAAGCGGUAGCGGAGCGUUCUGUAAGCUGAUGAAGCCAUACCCGUGAGGGGUGGUGGAGGUAUCAGAAGUGCGAAUGCUGACAUGAGUAACGUAAGGGGAGUGAGAGACUCCCCCGCCGAAAGACCAAGGGUUCCUGCUUAAAGCUAAUCUGAGCAGGGUUAGCCGGCCCCUAAGACGAGGCGGAAACGCGUAGUCGAUGGGAACCACGUUAAUAUUCGUGGGCUUGGAGGUAGUGACGGAUCAUUGAGGUAGUCCAAUCUUAUCGGAUUGAACGGGCUGCUGCGUGGUUCCAGGAAAUAGCUCCUCCUUAUAAACCGUACCCGAAACCGACACUGGUGGUCUGGUAGAGUAUACCAAGGCGCUUGAGAGAACUAUGCUGAAGGAACUCGGCAAAUUGCACGCGUAACUUCGGAAGAAGCGUGACCCUUUUCUACGCAAGUAGAGGAGGGUGGCACAGACCAGGGGGUAGCGACUGUUUAUCAAAAACACAGGGCUCUGCGAAGUCGCAAGACGACGUAUAGGGUCUGACGCCUGCCCGGUGCUGGAAGGUUAAGAGGAGGGGUGCAAGCUCUGAAUCGAAGCCCCAGUAAACGGCGGCCGUAACUAUAACGGUCCUAAGGUAGCGAAAUUCCUUGUCGGGUAAGUUCCGACCUGCACGAAUGGCGUAACGACUUCCCCGCUGUCUCCAGCAUAGACUCAGUGAAAUUGAAUUCCCCGUGAAGAUGCGGGGUUCCUGCGGUUAGACGGAAAGACCCCGUGCACCUUUACUAUAGCUUUACAUUGGCAUUCGUAGUGGCAUGUGUAGGAUAGGUGGUAGGCUUUGAAACCUGGGCGCCAGCUCAGGUGGAGCCACCCUUGAAAUACCACCCUUAUUACUAUGGAUGUCUAACCGCGGCCCGUUAUCCGGGUCCGGGACAAUGUAUGGUGGGUAGUUUGACUGGGGCGGUCGCCUCCUAAAGAGUAACGGAGGCGCGCGAUGGUGGGCUCAGAACGGUCGGAAAUCGUUCGCUGAGUGCAAUGGCAUAAGCCUGCCUGACUGCGAGACUGACAAGUCGAGCAGAGACGAAAGUCGGUCAUAGUGAUCCGGUGGUCCCGCGUGGAAGGGCCAUCGCUCAACGGAUAAAAGGUACGCCGGGGAUAACAGGCUGAUGACCCCCAAGAGUCCAUAUCGACGGGGUUGUUUGGCACCUCGAUGUCGACUCAUCGCAUCCUGGGGCUGGAGCAGGUCCCAAGGGUAUGGCUGUUCGCCAUUUAAAGCGGUACGUGAGUUGGGUUCAGAACGUCGUGAGACAGUUCGGUCCCUAUCUGCCGUGGGUGUAGGAAUAUUGAAAGGAUCUGUCCCUAGUACGAGAGGACCGGGAUGGACGGAUCUCUGGUGGACCUGUUGUGGCGCCAGCCGCAUAGCAGGGUAGCUAUAUCCGGACGGGAUAACCGCUGAAGGCAUCUAAGCGGGAAACCCACCUUAAAACGAGUAUUCCCUGAGAACCGUGGAAGACGACCACGUUGAUAGGCCGGGUGUGGAAGAGCGGCAACGCUUGAAGCUUACCGGUACUAAUAGUUCGAUCGGCUUGAUCGUUCUCAUU